UUUAAUUAGGAAAGACAGUCCCUCCGAGGUGUACCCGUCCAUUUGAGAUGGUCAAGUUGACAGUCAAGGAGGGCGGCCACACCCCUAAUAAGAGAGUAGGCCUGGGGAGUGUCUUCACUGCUCUUCCUCACAGACAUAAAGGUAAUCUUCCAAACUCAAGCUCAAGUAGUUUAUCACACAUCAGAUUCCAUGAGAAUGAGGAUCGUGCUACACUUGACGUGUUUGAUGUAAGCUGUGCUCUUUGCCAUAGUUUUAAUUUAAGGGAGUUCGAAUUUUUUUUCUUGACAAGAAAAAAAAUCAUUUCCAUCCUCUCAUAGAUCAAUAACUGUUUUUAUCUACUUUCUUCUACUACUUUUUUUUUUCCUUGAGACCUGCCACCUUGGCCUCACAUUUACAAAUGUGAGCUGCCGUGCACUGCUGUCAGCUUAACUCUUGUGUCUUGAAGUCAGACCAGCUUUCCUAUCAAAUCCACACAUCUGGAAGCCUUCUUGCUACUUGUUCGAUUUGAACAAAUUGUUUCACUUCUGGUGCCCAGCAAUAGCCUGAGGCCAUUCUGCUUGCUGCUGUUCUGAGGAACAACGCUUUCUUAGAUUCUGUCUUCGCCCGUUUAAACUUUCAUUUUCUGGGGCAUGUACUCACGUGGUUUUUAUUGAAAUAUCAAGCCCAUUCUCUCUGACUUGCAGACUGAUAACUUGGCCGGACUUGGAACUCUCUGUCCCAGAGCAGUUUCCAUUAGCUCUUUCAAGUCAUUGUUCCAUUGUAUGUCCACAUAAAGCUGGAAAUUCCAAAAGCCAGUGUGAUUCUCAUCCCUCUGCAAACGAGGUGUUUCUGUUUCCAGAAAGCUCUUUGACCGGAUGAGGAAAUUUUAUAACAGUGUACGAGAGCCAUGCUCUUCCUUUUAAUCUAGUUACAUAGCAAGCAGGCGUUCUCACGUUCUAGUGAAUGGUGCGUAGUGCUUAAGAUGUGAGGAGCACACAGAAGGAGCACAGUUGUUUCUCAAAGUUCCAAUCUCUAAGAACAAACCAACAGCCUACCCAAGGAAUGGAUGAAUCAUAGCCCGUGUGGAUGGUUUUCCGUUUUCCCUCUGGCUCUCCUGCGUGUGGCCUCAGACUAGAUUCCUGCCGUCACGCUGCAGGUUCUCACUAUCACCGAGGUUGAAGCUGCUGGUUCUGUGCCUUCCCUGCCAUGGAGGACUGAUCUUCAAACUGUGAGCCACGACCGUGCAGCAUGAAGGCGAAGGCUCUGUGCAUCUGCUCUCGUCGGAACAGAGUCCGAAAGCUAUGACAGCUCACACC
rnacentral:sRNA from 1 species